rnacentral:rRNA from 1 species
GCAUAUCAAUAAGCGGAGGAAAAGAAACCAACAGGGAUUGCCCUAGUAACGGCGAGUGAAGCGGCAACAGCUCAAAUUUGAAAUCUGGCUUCGGCCCGAGUUGUAAUUUGCAGAGGAAGCUUUAGGCGCGGCACCUUCUGAGUCCCCUGGAACGGGGCGCCAUAGAGGGUGAGAGCCCCGUAUAGUUGGAUGCCUAGCCUGUGUAAAGCUCCUUCGACGAGUCGAGUAGUUUGGGAAUGCUGCUCAAAAUGGGAGGUAAAUUUCUUCUAAAGCUAAAUACCGGCCAGAGACCGAUAGCGCACAAGUAGAGUGAUCGAAAGAUGAAAAGCACUUUGAAAAGAGGGUUAAAUAGCACGUGAAAUUGUUGAAAGGGAAGCGCUUGUGACCAGACUUGCGCCGGGCGGAUCAUCCGGUGUUCUCACCGGUGCACUCCGCCCGGCUCAGGCCAGCAUCGGUUCUCGCGGGGGGAUAAAGGUCCUGGGAACGUAGCUCCUCCGGGAGUGUUAUAGCCCGGGGCGUAAUGCCCUCGCGGGGACCGAGGUUCGCGCAUCUGCAAGGAUGCUGGCGUAAUGGUCAUCAGCGAC